rnacentral:rRNA from 1 species
UUGAACGCUGGCGGCAUGCCUUACACAUGCAAGUCGAACGGCAGCACGGGGGCAACCCUGGUGGCGAGUGGCGAACGGGUGAGUAAUAUAUCGGAACGUACCCUAGAGUGGGGGAUAACUACGCGAAAGCGUAGCUAAUACCGCAUACGUACUAAGGUAGAAAGCGGGGGAUCGCAAGACCUCGCGCUCCUGGAGCGGCCGAUAUCUGAUUAGCUAGUUGGUGAGGUAAAGGCUCACCAAGGCGACGAUCAGUAGCUGGUCUGAGAGGACGACCAGCCACACUGGGACUGAGACACGGCCCAGACUCCUACGGGAGGCAGCAGUGGGGAAUUUUGGACAAUGGGGGCAACCCUGAUCCAGCCAUGCCGCGUGUGUGAAGAAGGCCUUCGGGUUGUAAAGCACUUUUGUCCGGAACGAAACGGCGAGAGCUAAUACCUUUUGCUAAUGACGGUACCGGAAGAAUAAGCACCGGCUAACUACGU